UACAGAGGUGGCAAGCGUUGUUCGGAAUUACUGGGCGUAAAGCGUGCGCAGGCGGUUUUGUAAGUCAGAUGUGAAAUGCCCGGGCUUAACCUGGGAACUGCAUUUGUGACUGCAUGGCUAGAGUUUGGCAGAGGGGGGUAGAAUUCCACGUGUAGCAGUGAAAUGCGUAGAUAUGUGGAGGAACACCGAUGGCGAAGGCAGCCCCCUGGGUCAAGACUGACGCUCAUGCACGAAAGCGUGGGGAGCAAACAGG
rnacentral:rRNA from 1 species